rnacentral:rRNA from 1 species
CCUACGUGAGGCUGCAGUGAGGAAUAUUGGUCAAUGGGCUUACGCCUGAACCAGCCAAGUCGCGUGAGGGAAGACUGCCCUAUGGGUUGUAAACCUCUUUUGUCAGGGAGCAACGCCGGCUACGUGUAGCCGGACUGAGAGUACCUGAAGAAAAAGCAUCGGCUAACUCCGUGCCAGCAGCCGCGGUAAUACGGAGGAUGCGAGCGUUAUCCGGAUUUAUUGGGUUUAAAGGGUGCGUAGGCGGAAUGCCAAGUCAGCGGUAAAAUCGCGGGGCUCAACCUCGCUCCGCUGUUGAAACUGGCGUUCUUGAGUGGGCGAGAAGUAUGCGGAAUGCGUGGUGUAGCGGUGAAAUGCAUAGAUAUCACGAAGAACUCAGAUUGCGAAGGCAGCAUACCGGCGCCCAACUGACGCUGAAGCACGAAAGCGUGGGUAUCGAACAGGAUUAGAUACCCCAGUAGUC